UACGUAGGUGGCAAGCGUUGUCCAGAUUUACUGGGCGUAAAGAGCGCGCAGGCGGUCGUUCAAGUCGCGUGUGAAAGCCCCCGGCUCAACUGGGGAGGGUCACGCGAUACUGAUCGACUCGAAGGCAGGAGAGGGUAGUGGAAUUCCCGGUGUAGUGGUGAAAUGCGUAGAUAUCAGGAGGAACACCGGUGGCGAAGGCGGGUCUCUGGGCCGAUACUGACGCUGAGGAGCGAAAGCGUGGGGAGCGAACAGG
rnacentral:rRNA from 1 species